rnacentral:lncRNA from 1 species
CCUAGAGCAUGAUUGAUAUUUUUGCAUACUGCAUUAUUAUUGAUAGAUGGUAUUUUUAACUUGAUAAAAUUUAUUAAGAAAAAAAUAUAGAUUAUCAUUGUGAUUUGCCAAAUCAAAAAGGUAUAAAUUUAAAUUUAUUACUCUAAAUCUUCUAUCUCCAUUUUUUUUUUGAUGAUUUUUUAUCUGACAUUUGUUUCUUCAACAUCUCCAAAAGCCGUAAUAUGUCCUAUCACAUCCGUAAAAAAAAAGGU